rnacentral:rRNA from 1 species
AUGGGUCGUGAGUGGGAACUUAGUUUCCGUCUGGGUAUGCGUCCUUGGAUUGCUGUUGCAUAUUCAGCUCCUGUUGCAGCUGCUACUGCUGUUUUCUUGAUUUACCCUAUUGGUCAAGGAAGCUUUUCUGAUGGUAUGCCUUUAGGAAUCUCUGGUACUUUCAACUUUAUGAUUGUAUUCCAGGCAGAGCACAACAUCCUUAUGCAUCCAUUCCACAUGUUAGGUGUAGCUGGUGUAUUCGGCGGUUCCCUAUUCAGUGCUAUGCAUGGUUCCUUGGUAACCUCUAGUUUGAUCAGGGAAACUACUGAAAAUGAAUCUGCUAAUGAGGGUUACAAAUUUGGUCAAGAGGAAGAAACUGAUGCGUGGAAGCUUGCUAUCCAUGUGCCAGAGCCAUGA